rnacentral:rRNA from 1 species
GAUGAACGCUGGCGGCGUGCCUAAUACAUGCAAGUCGAGCGAACGGACGAGAAGCUUGCUUUUCUGAUGUUAGCGGCGGACGGGUGAGUAACACGUGGAUAACCUACCUAUAAGACUGGGAUAACUUCGGGAAACCGGAGCUAAUACCGGAUAAUAUUUUGAACCGCAUGGUUCAAAAGUGAAAGACGGUCUUGCUGUCACUUAUAGAUGGAUCCGCGCUGCAUUAGCUAGUUGGUAAGGUAACGGCUUACCAAGGCAACGAUGCAUAGCCGACCUGAGAGGGUGAUCGGCCACACUGGAACUGAGACACGGUCCAGACUCCUACGGGAGGCAGCAGUAGGGAAUCUUCCGCAAUGGGCGAAAGCCUGACGGAGCAACGCCGCGUGAGUGAUGAAGGUCUUCGGAUCGUAAAACUCUGUUAUUAGGGAAGAACAUAUGUGUAAGUAACUGUGCACAUCUUGACGGUACCUAAUCAGAAAGCCACGGCUAACUACGUGCCAGCAGCCGCGGUAAUACGUAGGUGGCAAGCGUUAUCCGGAAUUAUUGGGCGUAAAGCGCGCGUAGGCGGUUUUUUAAGUCUGAUGUGAAAGCCCACGGCUCAACCGUGGAGGGUCAUUGGAAACUGGAAAACUUGAGUGCAGAAGAGGAAAGUGGAAUUCCAUGUGUAGCGGUGAAAUGCGCAGAGAUGUGGAGGAACACCAGUGGCGAAGGCGACUUUCUGGUCUGUAACUGACGCUGAUGUGCGAAAGCGUGGGGAUCAAACAGGAUUAGAUACCCUGGUAGUCCACGCCGUAAACGAUGAGUGCUAAGUGUUAGGGGGUUUCCGCCCCCUAGUGCUGCAGCUAACGCAUUAAGCACUCCGCCUGGGGAGUACGACCGCAAGGUUGAAACUCAAAGGAAUUGACGGGGGCCCGCACAAGCGGUGGAGCAUGUGGUUUAAUUCGAAGCAACGCGAAGAACCUUACCAAAUCUUGACAUCCUUUGACAACUCUAGAGAUAGAGCCUUCCCCUUCGGGGGACAAAGUGACAGGUGGUGCAUGGUUGUCGUCAGCUCGUGUCGUGAGAUGUUGGGUUAAGUCCCGCAACGAGCGCAACCCUUAAGCUUAGUUGCCAUCAUUAAGUUGGGCACUCUAAGUUGACUGCCGGUGACAAACCGGAGGAAGGUGGGGAUGACGUCAAAUCAUCAUGCCCCUUAUGAUUUGGGCUAUACACGUGCUACAAUGGACAAUACAAAGGGCAGCGAAACCGCGAGGUCAAGCAAAUCCCAUAAAGUUGUUCUCAGUUCGGAUUGUAGUCUGCAACUCGACUACAUGAAGCUGGAAUCGCUAGUAAUCGUAGGUCAGCAUGCUACGGUGAAUACGUUCCCGGGUCU